UGGAGAAAAGGAGGCUCGGGGAAGCCUCAUUGCUCUGAACUUCCUGAAAGGAUGAUGUAGCCAGGUGGGGAGCAGCCUCUUCUCCCAGGCAACCAGCAAUAGGAUGAGAGAACGUAAACUCAAGCUGUGCCAGGGCAGAUCCAGGUUUGGUAUCAGGAGGAAUUUCUACACUGAAAGGAUGGUUAAGCAUUGGAACCCUGUGCUGACCAGGGAUGUUAGAGCUGCCAUCCGUGGAAGUGCUCAAAAAAUGACUGGAUGUGGCACUUAGUGCUGUGGUUUAGCUGACAUGGCGGUGUUUGGUCAAAGCUUGGACUCGGUUCUUUAAGUCCUUUCCAGCCUUAAUGAUUUCAUGAUUCCAAGGUGGGAUUGCAUGGAGUGAAACAGACUGGUAGGAAUCUGCCAUUUGCUGUCUUGCUUAGAUGUGUGAUGCACAGACCUUUUCAUCCACUGUUCCUGAGCCCAGGAAUUCUGUGGGUUAAAGGAAACCACUGCACAAUAGAUGCACUUGGCAGAAGAGGAGGGUUCUCCUUGUGUAUGUCUUUUUUCCUGUUGUACUGGGAAGUGUUACAAGCACCCCGUGUGAAAUAUGGAUAACACCAACUGUCCAAGGCUCAAGUGCUGUAAAGAAACUCUUUCUGCCUUGUUCAAAUGUUGAAUUAAUGUUUCUGAAUAUUGACAGCAGUUGUGAAGAGCUGUUCAUGCUAAUGACCACGGUGCUUCCUCAUGACUCUGGCUGCUUCUAGCAGGAUACAUCUGAUGCCUGAUUUGUGCUCAGCAGCAGGUGCUCUGUAAAAUUAUAAUGCCAUGGCUGUGUUGGGUAAGGAGUGUUAUUUCUGACAAGUUUCUGGAGUCUUCCUCAAAUAGGGAAAAAGCCACAGACAGUGGCAAUCAAAAGUAAAUGCUUAUGCUCUCAGAAUGGUAGAGGAACUCUGUAGGGCCUUGUGCAUGACCUGCUGUGUAGAUAUGUGGCAUUAGAAGUGUCACAUGAGAAUAAGGAACCUUCCUUGUCCUGUUUUCGGGUCAGGGACGUAACACAUUUACCUACUGAACAUUUGGUUUUCUGAUUUUCUAGUUGUUCCAUUAUUUGUUGUAAUGACUAUUGGACAAGCUGGAAUACUUCGUUGUGAAGUAGAUUGCAAGGGUUUUGAUGAUAGAUCUUGUUACAUAAGGCAGUUGAUGGAGGCUGUAUGUCAGAGUUGAAAGCCCCUCUAGGUUCAGCUAUUACCCUGAGGUUUGGAGCCAUCCCAAAUGCUGACCCUGCACGACUCUGCCUCUGGAUCAUCACAGGAGCACAGAAUUGGCACUUGGGCUGCAAACCUACUGUAAUACAGCAUUCCAAGCCGUUCUUCUGGCUACCUUUGCUGUAAGCUCUUCAAGUAGCACAGCCCAAAAUCUAAAGAAAGUUUUACAUAGGUACAGUUAAACAUUUAUGUCUGGUUUACAGUAAAGUUACAGAGGAGUUCCCAAGUUGUUUCAGUGAAGACUUUUUUUUGUGUUUGUACUUUUUUGGUAAGGAAGCUCCAAUAACCAGUAAACAGACAGUGGUUUCCAGUUCUCUUCACAGUCACUGGGGAGAUGAUUCACAUAAACUUGGAGCGAGUAUCACAUUGCAGUGGAGGACACACUGGAUAUGUUUACAUUGUAGUUGUCAGAUCAAGCACGUUUUCAGCUAAUUUACUGGUUGUAAGUUGUCCAAGCUCUUUGCAAAUGCAGUGAGUUUCCCAGACCUCGAGACAGAGAGUCCAGCACAGCACAAUGUGUAUGCUGCAGAAUAAAAGGAUUGACAGCUCAGAAGCAGAGCAAGCAUUAACAAGGGCAGGACAGGAAGAAGCAGGAAACCACGGUGUGAAAGCCAGGAUUUCUGAGUGGCAGAACAAUGCCCCACACCUGCCCAGCACAGGCUGUUUCCUGCAUUGUCACAUGUGAGCCACUGCAGAGGCUCAAGGAACACGUCUGCACAGCCCCUCCUUGCCUGUUCUUUGCAAACCAUGGAUUUGCUGCUAUAAGAGACAGUUCUGACUCUUGCCUUUCUCUGUAAUGAAUCUUCUGAUCUCUAAAGAAGAUGGAAUCUUUUUCCUGCAACAGAGCUGCUGCUAGUGCACACUCUGUGAAGUAGAGAAGUGAUCAUCUGAUCAUCGAUCACCUCUUCACUGGUACAGCUGCGAGUGACCCAGAACAGCACAUCCUGCAACCAUGGUGUACCAAAAAUCAG